UACGUAGGGUGCAAGCGUUGUCCGGAAUUAUUGGGCGUAAAGAGCUCGUAGGCGGUCUGUCGCGUCGGUCGUGAAAACUUGGGGCUUAACCCUGAGCUUGCGGUCGAUACGGGCAUGACUGGAGUUCGGCAGGGGAGACUGGAAUUCCUGGUGUAGCGGUGAAAUGCGCAGAUAUCAGGAGGAACACCGGUGGCGAAGGCGGAUCUCUGGACGGCUAAAACUGACGCUGAGGCGCGAAGGCCAGGGGAGCAAACGGG
rnacentral:rRNA from 1 species